AUCCAACCAUCCACUUCAUUGAUCGAAAUUUGAAUAAAAAACUCGUUAGCUAUACAGUGCACUUGAAGAAUUAUCUUAUAAUGGAGGUCAAACUCAAAUUGGCAAAAUGGCCAGUGAUCUCUGACAAAGUCAUAAAAUAAACAAAACUUGAAGACAAUAUAUAAAAAUGCAUAUAAAAUGCUAAUAAAGCCACUAUCAUUUCCAAGCAGAGACAACCAACGUUCCAUAAGCUAAUCAGCAGCUACACUUAGAGCAUAAAGCUCAAACAUCUCAUUCCGUCAACCUUAUCAAAAUAAUCAAAUGAGACAACAUUCCAUAAGCUAAUCAGCAGCAACACUUAGAGCAUAAAGCUCAAACUUCUCAUUCUGUCAACCAUAUUAAAUAAUCAAAUGAGACAACGAAGGAAGUAGUGCAUCAAAUAUUCAACAUUCUGUCAAAGUCUUCAAUAUUAACCAAAAGGAAUUCAAGCAAUCCAAAGGUUGAAAAAGAACAACAAGAAAUGCGAAUUUCCAGCAAUUGAAAUGCCAUUAAGACUCUCGAUUUUCAAGUUAGAGCUGAUGUAACAAGAGCACUCAAUUCAACAAGGAGAAUAUUUUACUCAAUAAGGAGAAUAUUUUAGAAGUAAAAACCAAAUUUCAAACUGUCACUGCGAAACUUGAGCACAAUCUCAACUAACAUAAAUUUCCAACAAAUUUAACUUAAUGUAUGUUCAACCAAAUCACAAUUCAAGCAUGCUCAAUCUCUAGUCCCAUAGAAUCCCCUCCAUUAUUCUCAACAAUAAUAACAACUAUUAGAAAUCAGUGGUAACAAGUUUAAACUAGGAGAAUUUCAGCUAUCAAUUUACUCCAAAAACUUCACAAAAGUGACAAAUUUCAAUAAGAUAAGCUUCAGAACUCCAUAGUCUUAGCACAAAGAUAAUUGGUAUUUAAUGCAGGAUUUUCUUUCAAACAUUGGCCCAUGAAAAAUUCAUAGAUUGAAUUAAAAUCACCAAACAAUACUCCAACAAAUAAAGAAUGAUCUCAACAGAACUUUCGCCAGCAUAAAAGAAGUUUGACAAGAGAAUUCCAACUUGACUCUAAGAAUUUCAAUAGUAGAGUCCAUUGACACAACUCAAUUCACACAAUUUCCAACAAACAUCUUCUGAAUUCUAAAACUAACAUAUGUGACUAAAAGUGGAUAGAAGUACAAUAUUUGGUUAUGACCCCGCAAAGCCGAGAACCUAAGAUUUACUAGGAAGACCGGACCCUAUGAGGGUUUCCUACAUAUCACGCUCUAAAAGACGAGAAUCAGGUUUGCGUAAUUCAAAUUGAAUGCGGGCAAGAAAUAAAAAAUACACCUAAUUUUUAAAGAAAACAUUUUCUUUUGUCUCUUAUGAAAAGAACAACAAGAGAUGUGAAUUUCCAGCAAUUGAAAUGGCAUUAAGACUCGAUUUUCAAGUUAGUGAUUACAUACCCAAAUUCUCAUUCUAACACAGAUUUAAAAAAACAUACACAAAUGCUCAAACCCAUAAAACCAACUAUAACUAAUAAUAUAUAAAUCUCAAAGCAGACACGCAUAAAAGGUAAAACAUUAAAGCAACAGUGACAUGGAUAGUGACAUAAAUCGGAAAUACUUGAAUCAUAGAGAAAUGAAUUAGAGUAGUGAAAAAGAGAAAGAGCCACCUUAGUUGCUGAAAAUCUUCAAAAACACGUACAUCGCAAAGGAGUAUCUAAACAUAGUUUUCCUCAACCGAACUACAGACCAUAAACUCGAACUGGAAUCGCAACGGCGAACGACUCAACUUAGCCAGAUUCGGGAUAGUGACCUCGAGCUGGUUUUGCAAUAGCAGUCCUCAGCCGAACUACAGACCAUAAACUCGAACCGGAAUCGCAACGGUGAACGACUCAACUUAGCCAGAUUCGGGAUAGUGACCUCGGGCUGGUUUUGCCUUGGUUUUGAGGUGAUGUUUUCAGUGGGAGUUGCAGUGGCUAGCUUCAAGGUGAAGUAAAGAAGACGAAGUUAAGGGGGGUCCGAUUUUUGAGUUGCGGCUAUUUCCAUUUCUGUUCCUAGGCGUCUCUUCGGUGUUUUUCAAAUGGAGAAGAUGACUGAUCUGCUUCUCAAGAUCCUUAGGUUUUUGUUAUGGUUAUUUUUUGGAGAAGACGGAAUCCGAAGAAAAAGAGCAAAGGAAAGCUGCGCUGGGGUAGGGGUGCUUGGAGAAGAGUACGAGGUGGGUCCUUUUUGUAUCGUCAAAGCUGCACUCCUCUAUUCUUUUUCAAUCCCAGACGUUAUUUAUUUUAUGUAUGUAUGUGUAUGGUCGUCAGAUUCUGGUGUGGUGAGGGUGGAUGGUUGCUGGAGUUUUUCAGGCAAGUUUGGUGAUAGUUUAUGGCUGCUGCUUCAUUUUUGAAGAAGACCUGAAACGCAACUCCCUCUCUCUCUCUAUGCGUAUAUCUUCGAGCUUCAUGAAGAAGAAGCAGCGGUCAUGGCGGGCUGCUAGGGUUUGACGGAGAAGAUGAUCAGGGGGUUAUGUCCAACAAUUGUAUAUCUCUCGUGUAGUGUGUAUUAUUAUGUGUUAGGGGUUUUAGGUGGGGAAAUGGGUUUGGGUAUUAGAUUGGAU
rnacentral:lncRNA from 1 species